CCUACGGGGGGCAGCAGUGGGGAAUAUUGGGCAAUGGGAGGAAUCCUGACCCAGCGACGCCGCGUGAACGAGGACGGCCUUCUGGUUGUAAAGUUCUUUUAUGUGGGAAGAAGGAAGUGACGGUACCACAUGAAUAAGCCCCGGCUAACUACGUGCCAGCAGCCGCGGUAAUACGUAGGGGGCGAGCGUUGUCCGGAAUUACUGGGCGUAAAGGGCACGCAGGCUGUGCUUCAAGUCAGCUGUAAAAGGAUGCGGCUUAACCGUGUUAUGCAGUUGAGACUGAGGUGCUGGAGUACCGGGGAGGCAAGGGGAAUUCCCAGUGUAGCGGUGAAAUGCGUAGAUAUUGGGAAGAACAUCGGUGGCGAAGGCGACUUGCUGGACGGUAACUGACGCUGAGGUGCGAAAGCCAGGGUAGCGAACGGGAUUAGAUACCCUAGUAGUC
rnacentral:rRNA from 1 species